rnacentral:rRNA from 1 species
GAACAUAAGAGUUUGAUCCUGGCUCAGAUUGAACGCUGGCGGCAUGCUUUACACAUGCAAGUCGGACGGCAGCACAGGGAAGCUUGCUUCUCGGGUGGCGAGUGGCGAACGGGUGAGUAAUAUAUCGGAACGUACCGGGUAGCGGGGGAUAACUGAUCGAAAGAUCAGCUAAUACCGCAUACGUCUUGAGAGGGAAAGCAGGGGACCUUCGGGCCUUGCGCUAUCCGAGCGGCCGAUAUCUGAUUAGCUGGUUGGCGGGGUAAAGGCCCACCAAGGCGACGAUCAGUAGCGGGUCUGAGAGGAUGAUCCGCCACACUGGGACUGAGACACGGCCCAGACUCCUACGGGAGGCAGCAGUGGGGAAUUUUGGACAAUGGGCGCAAGCCUGAUCCAGCCAUGCCGCGUGUCUGAAGAAGGCCUUCGGGUUGUAAAGGACUUUUGUCAGGGAAGAAAAGGCCGUUGCCAAUAUCGGCGGCCGAUGACGGUACCUGAAGAAUAAGCACCGGCUAACUACGUGCCAGCAGCCGCGGUAAUACGUAGGGUGCGAGCGUUAAUCGGAAUUACUGGGCGUAAAGCGGGCGCAGACGGUUACUUAAGCAGGAUGUGAAAUCCCCGGGCUCAACCCGGGAACUGCGUUCUGAACUGGGUGACUCGAGUGUGUCAGAGGGAGGUGGAAUUCCACGUGUAGCAGUGAAAUGCGUAGAGAUGUGGAGGAAUACCGAUGGCGAAGGCAGCCUCCUGGGAUAACACUGACGUUCAUGUCCGAAAGCGUGGGUAGCAAACAGGAUUAGAUACCCUGGUAGUCCACGCCCUAAACGAUGUCAAUUAGCUGUUGGGCAACUUGAUUGCUUGGUAGCGUAGCUAACGCGUGAAAUUGACCGCCUGGGGAGUACGGUCGCAAGAUUAAAACUCAAAGGAAUUGACGGGGACCCGCACAAGCGGUGGAUGAUGUGGAUUAAUUCGAUGCAACGCGAAGAACCUUACCUGGUUUUGACAUGUGCGGAAUCCUCCGGAGACGGAGGAGUGCCUUCGGGAGCCGUAACACAGGUGCUGCAUGGCUGUCGUCAGCUCGUGUCGUGAGAUGUUGGGUUAAGUCCCGCAACGAGCGCAACCCUUGUCAUUAGUUGCCAUCAUUCGGUUGGGCACUCUAAUGAGACUGCCGGUGACAAGCCGGAGGAAGGUGGGGAUGACGUCAAGUCCUCAUGGCCCUUAUGACCAGGGCUUCACACGUCAUACAAUGGUCGGUACAGAGGGUAGCCAAGCCGCGAGGCGGAGCCAAUCUCACAAAACCGAUCGUAGUCCGGAUUGCACUCUGCAACUCGAGUGCAUGAAGUCGGAAUCGCUAGUAAUCGCAGGUCAGCAUACUGCGGUGAAUACGUUCCCGGGUCUUGUACACACCGCCCGUCACACCAUGGGAGUGGGGGAUACCAGAAGUAGGUAGGGUAACCGCAAGGAGUCCGCUUACCACGGUAUGCUUCAUGACUGGGGUGAAGUCGUAACAAGGUAGCCGUAGGGGAACCUGCGGCUGGAUCACCUCCUUU